rnacentral:rRNA from 1 species
CCUACGGGCGGCAGCAGUGGGGAAUAUUGGACAAUGGGCGAAAGCCUGAUCCAGCCAUGCCGCGUGUGUGAAGAAGGCCUUCGGGUUGUAAAGCACUUUCAGUGGGGAAGAAAGCCUUGGGGCUAAUACCCUCGAGGAAGGACAUCACCCACAGAAGAAGCACCGGCUAACUCCGUGCCAGCAGCCGCGGUAAUACAGGAGGGUGCGAGCGUUAAUCGGAAUUACUGGGCGUAAAGCGCGCGUAGGCGGUCUGAUAAGCCGGUUGUGAAAGCCCCGGGCUCAACCUGGGAACGGCAUCCGGAACUGUCAGGCUAGAGUGCAGGAGAGGAAGGUAGAAUUCCCGGUGUAGCGGUGAAAUGCGUAGAGAUCGGGAGGAAUACCAGUGGCGAAGGCGGCCUUCUGGACUGACACUGACGCUGAGGUGCGAAAGCGUGGGUAGCAAACAGGAUUAGAUACCCCUGUAGUC